AUAGAGGAUGAAAAUUGAGACUUGGACCUAGAACGGAAAGAAAUCGAUUUAUGGACGAGUAUGUCCUUUUCACAUUUGUGGUAUCGAGAGUUUCCAGGUUAGCUCGGGUUGGAGGCCGUCGGAGAUAUUAUCACCCUAUCGAGUUAACGUUAUCGGAGUAAGUAAACUCAAGUGAUUCGAGUCUAUGGCAUGUAUAGGGUUUUAAUGUGAGUAUGUAAUAUUAUGAUUUAGCCAAAGGCGUUGGCUUGUUAUUAAGGUAGUAUUAGUCAUGUAAAUUGGCCUAUGUCGGCUAAUGACAUUAUGGGCCCAUAUGAUUAUUCUUAUGCAUGUAUGUUAUUAUCUCUUGUGAUGUGGCUUACAACAUGUAUGCCUAGAGAUUGAAUUGAGAUUCAUUGAUGAGCUAGUAACUAAUGCAGGAUUAAGUGAUUGGUAAAUAGUUAAUAAUGCUUCAUGAAUGGUUUGUGAGGUAAUGAUAGUUAUGUCUAGUAUGUGGUAAUGAUAUGGGCAAAUUCUAUAAUAUUUAUUGCAUAAGAAAAUAA